GGCCAGACUCCUACGGGAGGCAGCAGUGGGGAAUAUUGCACAAUGGGGGAAACCCUGAUGCAGCGACGCCGCGUGAGUGAAGAAGUAAUUCGUUAUGUAAAGCUCUAUCAGCAGGGAAGAAAAUGACGGUACCUGACUAAGAAGCCCCGGCUAACUACGUGCCAGCAGCCGCGGUAAUACGUAGGGGGCAAGCGUUAUCCGGAUUUACUGGGUGUAAAGGGAGCGUAGACGGCGGUGCAAGCCAGAUGUGAAAGCGCGGGGCUCAACCCCGGGACUGCAUUUGGAACUGUGGUGCUAGAGUGUCGGAGAGGCAAGCGGAACUCCUAGUGUAGCGGUGAAAUGCGUAGAUAUUAGGAGGAACACCAGUGGCGAAGGCGGCCUGCUGGACGAUAACUGACGUUGAGGCUCGAAAGCGUGGGGAGCAAACAGGAUUAGAUACCCUGGUAA
rnacentral:rRNA from 1 species